CUACGGGAUGCUGCAGUGAGGAAUUUUGCGCAAUGGGGGAAACCCUGACGCAGCAACGCCGCGUGAGCGAAGAAGGCCUUCGGGUCGUAAAGCUCUGUCAAGUGGGAAAAAAAUUCUUUGAUGAACAGUCAAAGGACUUGAUGGUACCACUGGAGGAAGCACCGGCUAACUCCGUGCCAGCGGCCGCGGUAAUACGGAGGGUGCAAGCGUUGUUCGGAAUUACUGGGCGUAAAGAGCGUGUAGGCGGUUUGACAAGUCAGAUGUGAAAGCCCCGGGCUCAACCCGGGAAGUGCAUUUGAAACUGUUUCACUAGAGUAUGGGAGAGGAGAUUGGAAUUCCUGGUGUAGAGGUGAAAUUCGUAGAUGUCAGGAGGAACACCCGUGGCGAAGGCGAUUCUCUGGACCAAUACUGACGCUGAGACGCGAAAGCGUGGGGAGCAAACAGGAUUAGAUACCCGCGUAGUC
rnacentral:rRNA from 1 species